rnacentral:misc_RNA from 1 species
UUUCCGAAGGUGAACCUGCGGAAGGAUCAUUAAAGAAUCGCCCCGUUUUUUAUAAAUGGGUUCUAUUCCCAAACCGUGUAUACAUACCUUUGUUGCUUUGGCAGGCCGCCUCCGGGCGUCGGCUCCGGCUGAUAGUGCCUGCCAGAGGACCCAAACUCUGUGUUUAGUGAUGUCUGAGUACUAUAUAAUAGUUAAAACUUUCAACAACGGAUCUCUUGGUUCUG